rnacentral:rRNA from 1 species
UACGAAGGGGGCUAGCGUUGUUCGGAUUUACUGGGCGUAAAGCGCACGUAGGCGGUUUGUUAAGUCAGGGGUGAAAUCCUGGAGCUCAACUCCAGAACUGCCUUUGAUACUGGCAAUCUUGAGUCCGGAAGAGGUGAGUGGAAUUCCGAGUGUAGAGGUGAAAUUCGUAGAUAUUCGGAGGAACACCAGUGGCGAAGGCGGCUCACUGGUCCAUUACUGACGCUGAGGUGCGAAAGCGUGGGGAGCAAACAGG